UGGGGAAUUUUGGACAAUGGGCGCAAGCCUGAUCCAGCAAUGCCGCGUGCAGGAAGAAGGCCUUCGGGUUGUAAACUGCUUUUGUACGGAACGAAACGGUCCUGGUUAAUACCUGGGGCUAAUGACGGUACCGUAAGAAUAAGCACCGGCUAACUAC
rnacentral:rRNA from 1 species